CCUACGGGGGGCAGCAGUGAGGAAUAUUGGUCAAUGGACGAGAGUCUGAACCAGCCAAGUAGCGUGAAGGAUGACUGCCCUAUGGGUUGUAAACUUCUUUUAUAUGGGAAUAAAAUGUUCCACGUGUGGGAUUUUGUAUGUACCAUAUGAAUAAGGAUCGGCUAACUCCGUGCCAGCAGCCGCGGUAAUACGGAGGAUCCGAGCGUUAUCCGGAUUUAUUGGGUUUAAAAGGAGCGUAGGUGGAUUGUUAAGUCAGUUGUGAAAGUUUGCGGCUCAACCGUAAAAUUGCAGUUGAAACUGGCAGUCUUGAGUACAGUAGAGGUGGGCGGGAUUCGUGGUGUAGCGGUGAAAUGCUUAGAUAUCACGAAGAACUCCGAUUGCGAAGGCAGUUCACUGGACUGCAACUGACACUGAGGCUCGAAAGUGUGGGUAUCAAACAGGAUUAGAUACCCCAGUAGUC
rnacentral:rRNA from 1 species